CCAAGUGAGCUCCAGGAAAGGCGCAAAGCUACGCAGAGAAACCCUGUCUCGGAAAAAAAAAAAAAAGAAUGAAGAGCGAUUAGCCUGCCCCUGGAUUAGUAAUCAUAACUGCUGGUAUAUGAGGCCCAGAUGAUGAAUGACAUGUGUCUGAAACUCCAAGGUCCAACAUAAAUGAUGAAUGCAGAAGCAAGGGUCUGUGGAAGAGAGAGUCGUUUUUUAUCCCUUGUUCUGUUCUCUUUUCCCCAGAAUUGCUUCUCCUGGGGAGAUUUCUGCGUAUUCCAGAGUUACCCAGUCAUUAGUCAUAUCUCUAGGUUAGAUCUUGGGACAAGUGUAAGUAGGAGACAAGACAAGUGAUUUAGUGAUUCAACCAAUAAACAAAGUAGAAGUGAUAGAGAAAAACAGGUCCAAUCCUGGAUUCAUGAUGAUCAUGGGUGGCAUAUGAGCCCUUGUCAAUGAAUAUGUGUCUGUAACACUGAGGUCAUAUCUGAAGAGACAUAUAUUUUCCAUUCCAUGUUCAUAUACUCAUGCUAUUAUUGUAAUUGGGCCAGUGAACAACUCAAGGAUAUAUAUAUUAGGAUAUAUAAUCUAUCAAGAUAAAGCUAAGAUGAUGGGUGAAGCAUCAUCCAAUUGUAAAAUACAUGAUUAUAUAAGAAUGUAGUAAUGUACACUGGACACACUGACCUGGUAGGAGAAGUACAUGGGUCCUCACUGUGAGCUUUUGUUUAAGAGUCAUGUACUCAGUUCAACUGUAGACCACAACUAUGUUCUGAGGGAAGGUCACAUUUGUUCGUUUUCUGAAGAAUGGAAUUAAUUUUCUAAUAAUGAUUGAUAAAUGAAUGACCAUGUGAAGGAUGAUACAGACUGAUUCACUAUCUCAGCUGUGUUAUGUUUUACCCCAUGCCUCACAGAGAGGAUGCUCUUGGGAAGACUACGUGUGGAUGUUCUCCUGAAGAAUGGCAUAUUCUUCCAUGGUGAGUGGCUUGCGGCUUGCUUCUCUGUGCUAGAAUGUGGGACAAAUGUAACAGCCAAUGUUGUCUUUGUCAGGGUCUCUUUGAAAAAUGGCAUUUUAUUUAUUUUUUUUAACUAUUUUCUACCAUCAAAGGUGCCAACCUUGCCAAUUUUAAUAUCAAUUUGACAGAAGCAUGGUAGUAAUUUCUCCAUGCAUAUGAGGACAGUCAUGGUAUAAUUUACUUUUUCUAACAGAAAAAUUCAGAGGUGUGUAUUAUUCAUCCUUAUUGAUAUUAUUCUUAUGUUUUGUCAUUCAUGUAUAUUUCUUCAUGACCUAUUCUGUAUUACUGUCAGGUGAUGGUCAGUCAAAACCAAGGUUGACAACUGUUGCAUGUGAGCCAUUUGCAAUCAAUACUCAUUAGUAUUAAAUAUUAAAAUAUACAAUAUUAAAUAUAUUAAAAUAUACAAUAAGGAAAAUGAAUAUUCAUAUAAAUUGAAAUAAACAAUAAGUUAACCCAUUGUUUCAUCCACUUUGAAUAACCCAAGCAACAGUUGAUCAUUGCUCUUGACCUAUGACAAGAUUGAAGUAUAUACUGUGAAGUGAACUAUAAAUAAAUAUCACAAAAAACUAAAUGACAUAGUAGUGAUAUCAGGGAAAGGCUGGAUGUAUGGACCAGGGGAAUGGAUGUCUCACUAAUUGCCUUAUGGUCUUACAUGAGUUCUGCUUUGAUGGAGACUUGGCAGCACAGACCUGAGAAAAAUAACUGCAGAGUUCUCCUUCUCCUUUAGGUGCUGGAUUGAAAUGUGAAGUUUGUUAAACUUUAUGUAUCUUAUUAAGAGAUACGAUGUGGAAUAUGAUUACUUUUCAGUCUUGAGCCUCACACAAGUCACUUACCAAAGAGUCACAGAUUCAAAUGAAAAAUGAUUGGACAGAAAAUGAUAAAGUCUUAAGGGCUUGUGUUUUUAUGUUUUUGUGAUCCAGGUUUUUCUAUUUUUUAUGUGUAAUUAGCAUUGCAAGGCCAAUAUUCAUAUUGAGGGGUCACAGGGUCACCCUUUGGUUUGUUCUACCUCACUCAAUAUGACAGGUAAGAUGUGCCAUGACUUUAAUGCCCAACACAAAACAAUCUGAUUUUCCUGUAAUAAUCACCCAAUAGUCACACUUUGAAGUGCUGAUAUUUUCCUUAGGUUCAAUAUAAUUAGAUUUAGGGUGGGUUUUUUUUUGUUUGUUUGUUUGUUUUACCAUAAGUGAAGAAUUGUUCAAUUACAAAAAUAACUAAUGAGAUUGUCAACACUGUACUAGAUUAUGAGUAGACUGGUGAUUAUAGUUCCAAUCGACCUAUAGUAUCAUAUGUAGAGAGGUGAUAAGCACACACAUAAGUCAAUCACCUUGAUUUGAUCAAAUUCAUGCAGCAAAUAACAAACUAAUCUACAAUAAUGUCUGUGUUUCUUACAUGUUGGCCACAAAUUCUAAGAAAAGCAUUGGACAAAACAAAACAAUUUUCUGCACUGAUGUUAUUAUUAUGUACCAUAUGCAUGUGUUUAAUUUGCAUUCUACAACCUAUAAAUUGACGGUUAAAUAGUAAUUAAUACAAAACUCAAAAUUUUUAUGUUUAUCUAGUAUAAAACAGUCAGAUAAAUAGAAAUAAGUAAAGGGGACUGAUAAAUGACAAAUGUCAGCACCUGAGUGUUGGAUGAUAGGACCAGAUAUCUGGAACUUGGAAUUCCAACCCAAAGAUAAGUGGAUAAUCAAAGUUAGGAAAAGUUCUGUCAUAUUUCAGCCUCUGCUGUGUGUUGCACUCACUAGAAUGAGCAUUCCUAAGGGGAUCAUGCCAUCUUCCGUGCUCACCAGCUGACUGGUUGCCUAACUGUGUUAGAACUUAGAGCCUAAGUGAGUGCUAGGUGAUAGUAUUGGCAUGAUUUAGGAGGUGUGCCAAAAGUUAGUCCCUUCAUUAUCUAACAGUGAGAAGGGAGGAGCAGUGAGAUGGCUCAAACGAAAGCCUGAUGACCUUAGCUGGAUAUUUAGAACCCUAAAGUUCUCUAUUACUUCCUCAGCUCUAUUCUUCAACACAGAUGAAUAAGUGUAUAUAAAUUAAUGUGCAAUAUUAUUUCAUUAGCUCAAAAGUGGUCGAUGAAAUAAAGUAUCAUGACUUAGAACAUUGAAUUGGACAUGCCUGUACAAAACCAAGGCUUAUCAAUGAACGGGAAUUGAUGUGAGCUUCCAGCUUCUCUCAGUGUUCAGGGAGAAUAAUAGAGAUUUCCAUUGUUACUAGUAAAUAAAUGAUUAAAUAAACAGUCAAUAUUAAAGUGAAUAAAUGAUUGAUGAACAGAAUCAGUAUAAGUCCAGAGAGAUACUCAUGUGUCAGUCUCCGGGGUCCAUCUGGCAGAUGUGCACUUCAUGUUCACAUAUUUCAUGUUUUAAUUUAAUUCCUCCAAUAUCACUCCAAAAACAAAAAUAGAGAAGUAUAAAGAAAAAGGGAAAAGAGGGAAUAUUCCUCCAGUUAUAAAAAUGAGGACUAAGGUAAAAAAUCCCUGUGGUACACCAACAUACUAUUUCCAAAAAGAAGCAGGGAUCAUGUUGAUCAUAAGUUGUAUAAAGAUGGGAUAGAGGAAAUUACAGAUAAUGUCUAUCUUCUCAUUUAGUUUCAACUAGGUCAUUUUGUAAAAGAUAAUAUGAAUAAUUUCUAAAUUACGAUGUAACACCAAAAUAGUUCAAUGUAAGAAAACAUCAAAGCAAAAUGAAGGGGUGCAUUAAUGUGGUCUACACACCCCAAGUAAUGCUUUCAAGUGGACUGACAGAUUUCUCCAAUACAACAGACUAGAGCAGCAGUGCUGUGUAGAGCUGAGGGAAGACAUGAGUAGCAGGGUGAUGCUGUUGGAGGCUGCUAUCUGCAUAAGUGCCAUGAAAUUAGAGAUUUCUAAGAAACCCACUGUUAACAUAAUACUGGGAGAAGUAAUGUGUGCUGACUGUAAAAGGCAAACUGUCUACAAUAUUGAAGAGAUUGUGCCUCUGAUUCAUUAAAUCUGUACAGUUUGGAGGGUAAUUAACACAAUUUUAAUAUAUUCAUGAUAUAUGAGUUCAUCAUAUAAAUAAUCAAGGAUUCAAUAUAGAUGUUAGAAAACAGGCUCACUCUGAAAGGAAUGAUACAUUAUGAGAGCAUUCGAUUGAUGAUGGAUGAAUUAAAGAAUAAUAGAAAUUAAAGGCCAGGAUAUAUGGCAGCCUCUUGUGCAAAGUGAGAGAUGCUAGUCUAACCAAAAAAGGCCAGCAGUUGUACUAAAAUGAUAUCACAAAAGGACAUAACGAUGGCAGAAAGGAGAGAGAAGAGGAAUUCCAUGAGAAUUGAGGGUAUGGAAAGAGUAAACGAUAAAAAAUACAGGGUAGUAAAGAAAAUUAUUGACCGUAAAUCUGUCUGAAUCUCUAAAAUUUAUUAACUCUGAAGAAGAAGGCAAAAAAAAAAAAAAAGAACAGCAAAAGAAAAACGAACAGGCAAAAACUUAAAAUACCAAAGGUAACAGCAAUUAAAGAAGGAAGUCUCAAAAUUAACAAGAGAUUCUCUGAAUUCAACAAUACAGAGAUAUUGAAAAGACACUGAAGAUAGACACUGAUGAAGAAUUCAAGAAAAGAAAGAUUGCUCCAUAGAACCUGGUGGCAGACAGCAACAGCUAUGAUCCUCCUAUGGACACCUGUGGACAGAAUGACCCACAAGACUCAUGACUACAGCUUUCAGACUUCGAGACAAAUCCCGAACCCCCACAUCUGCCCCCCACACACACAAACUCAGCAAGCCCUGGGGGCACCGAGAGAUCAGAGCCGUGUAGACUGAGAGCCAACCAUCUGACCUUCUUCUGGAACCAGAUGAUAGAGAGGAGACCAGACUGAUGAUGGCACAUGUUUGCUGAGGUGGAGAGUGCCGGGGCUGCCCUGAUUUCCGUGCAGAGCUCCUGGUGGCAGACAGCUACAGUGUUGGUCCUCCUGUGGGCACCUGUGGACAGGUCCAUAGUACUGAUAUACUAGCAUGCUCUCCUGGAAACGCAAGCACACAGUCACACAGAAACACACACACACACACACACACACACACACACACACACACACACACACACGCACUGUCUGCUUUUCCUGUGCUCACUGUGAUUUCUCAGAGCUCUGUGGACUAAGAGUCAACUGUCUCAUUCUCCUCAGAGAUCAGAUAAUAGUGGACGUGUAUAAGCCGGCAGUGAAUUCCCCGUUUAUAAACUGUAUCCAGAAUGGGUGCUCCUGGGGUGAUUCCUGCAUUCUCGCGGUCACCAGUGCAACAUUUGUGUCUCUGCAUUGAACUUUGGACAACGAUGGACCAUGUCAUUAGAGGAUCGCCCAAAGGUCAAGGGCUCCAUUUGCAUCCUGCUGAGGAAGAAAACAAGACCAGUAAUGAAUUCUUCCAAGGUGAUCUGUUCAUCUUCAAUGCCUGCCAGCCCAUCAGUGGCUCGGGAUGAUGUGAGAUUUGGCCAACGUUCUUGUCAUCAUUUUGAUGGAAGACCUUUGCUGACUUGGGGAUGCCUCCACAGCUAGGAGCUGUGCUGACAUCAUGGGUAGAGCUGGACAGACCACUGUGAAGACUGGUCAGGAUCCUUUCUUCAGAGUGAAGGAACUGUGUGACAUGAUGGGAGUAUCUGCCAUGGUCAAGCGCUCUGCAGUUUCCCAAGAAGAAGUGCAUGUUGGAUGACACUACCUCAGCUGAUCUGUUCCUAAUCAUGAAGCUCUCAGCCCUUGCCCUCCGGGGAGAGAGAAUAUUAUGAAAUUAGAAUGGAUGCACAUGGAAUCCUUUCCUCAACACUUCAGGACAGAGGUCCCGACAUUGACAUUGUGGCCAAGGGCAGCAUAGAUAUGGCCUAGAAGACUGGAGAGAUCAACCAAGUUCUAAGAGGGAUAGCAGAUGAGGCAAGCCUGUCGAGAAAAGGCACAACAUGCCCUUCUACCAGAGAACAGACGAUUUAAAAAGUACGUUGGCAGCACUUUUAUUCUAUAUGGGGCACUUGCCUAAGGUCCAGCAUCCAUGGUUCCUUCCUUCUCUC